AUAAGGAUGACUUUCUUGCCAUUUGAGUUUAUGUAUGGAUGAAAUAUUCUUGCAACACCUCUAAGAAGUGCUGAAUGU